UGCUGCUGCUGCUGCGGGUGAUGGUGAUGGUGGUGAUGAUGGUUGCCGUCAACUCGGCGAUGGACGUCAUCGUCGUCGUCGUCGUCGUCCACCUCUUCG